UGCCCAGGGCUCCGCACGGUCCCAGUGCCGGGCCGCCCGGGCCACCAGCCAGGCCACCAUCGCCGCACGAUGCAUUGUGGUACCUGUAGUCUGGUGCCGGCGGCAGCCAUGGCGGACAUUAGCCGUGGGUGUUAAUUGGACAGAAAAGUGUCUUCUCUAAUGCUGACAGGGUUGCCCCCGAGUUACUCUGGUUUUGGGGUCUUUUUUGUCUUAAACCUGUGGUGAGAUCCUGGUUCAGAACAGCAAGAAUCGACUGAAUUGCAAAACUCCUGUUAUCUCCAGCCCAUCCUCGCCAGUGUUGGUCUAUGUGCCCUCAGAAGGGAAUGUCCUGCAGGGUUUCCAGAAAGAGUUACUGAGUGUACCAUGAGUCAUCCUGCUAACCGCAUGAGUUUGCAGGUACAUUUUGCAUUCUUUUCAGUUUAAUAUAUAAUUCCACAUUGUAAAAACCUACACAAUUAAAUUAGGAAACUGAUUUAUUCAAGGAAGUAAGACUUGUUAAUACCUGAACAAAGCUAAAUUUAAAGAAAAAAACAAUGGAGGUUUCCCCUCUCAAUUUUUUAUUUUUGAUUUGUUUCAUUUUUGUUUGUAUUUUUGUUUUGGUUGGGUGGGUGGUUUUUUUGUUUGGUUUUGGUUGUUUUUUUGUUUUCAAAAAACAUUGGAAAGACUACUGUAUCAAACUUGAAAGCUAAACUUCGCACCUGUUCAGCAGUUAUGCUAGAGAUCACCCGGAAAUUCCACGUGUCGUAGGCAUAAAGUAGGGAAUCGAGACAAAUAUAAACUCAAACAAAAGACUUCAUUGUCUUUGCUAUUGAGCUGAUCAAUAGGAAAAGAGGAAGAGGAAGUUUGAAUCUUAAUGUUACAGUGCAACCUACCGACUGACAGGUGGAAUUUGGAAUGCUGCUCUUUAAGACAAAAAUACAGUGAACGAAAGAACCUUCCUAACCAGACAGCAGCACCAACAGAGGGGCACGGGAGGAAGCAACUUAGAGAAACUGAACAUCCUUGUUGAGAAACGCCUCGGCUAAAUUUGCCGGACGGAACUGAGCGCCGUGACCAGGGCAGGAGAAAAGCUCACUCUCCCGUGUCUGGAGAAGAGGUAUGUCAGCCAGAAAAGGAAGGUCAAAGAAAGCAUCGCCCCCAAUGAACACAACUCUAAUGAACAACAAUGGAUAAGGAGAAGGCUGAGAUACACAACAAAAUUUUUCUUGCCUCAGUUUUCACUGUCAACCUCUCUUCCUGCACUUCUUGAGUGGAGGGACUGCAAGACAUGGACUGGGGGAGCCAAGUCCAGAAGAGAAGACCAGACUACAAAAGCAUAACACUUGAAGGCUCUGAUUUGCCUCCUGGAUAGGAACCAGGACAGUCUCAAAGCUGGUAAGAGCAGAACAUAUGGACACAAACACUCUUGUUUCUUCUACACACACAGGCUUCUGGAAGCUUGUCUCUCUUUAAAUAGGUCUGGGUUUGUAUGCAAUUAAGGUAAUACCUGUUUGUGCCAUGAGGUAUGUACCUCUAUGGGAAUACAUAUAUAAAUUCCUCACUGCUAGAUACCUCUGGUUUUUAAGGUUAAUUUCUUACAUGUUAGAUUUCAAAAGUGUGUUAAGUGAGUGCUGAACUUUCAUUAGAACCUCUGAAAAUCCUCUUAUGGUGGUAUUUGAAUCCUCAGCUUUUGGCUAUACUGUCCAUUGUUUCUACUGGCUGGUUACUCUUAAUUCAUACAUCUCAGAUUAUAAAUCUUAAGAGCAAGCUUAUAUAUAAUGUUUAUAU